rnacentral:rRNA from 1 species
GAUGAACGCUAGCGGCAGGCCUAAUACAUGCAAGACGAACGGUAAGUUUGAUAGCAAUAUUGAACCUAGAGUGUCGUAAGGGUGCGUAACACGUAUGCAAUCUACCCUCAACAGGAGGAUAGCUCCCCGAAAGGGGAAUUAACACUCCAUAAGAUCACAGGAUGGUAUCAUUCAGUGAUUAAAAACUCCGGUGGUUGAGGAUGAGCAUGCGCAUGAUUAGUUAGUUGGCGGGGUAAUGGCCCACCAAGACGAUGAUCAUUAGGGGAACUGAGAGGUUGAUCCCCCACACUGGUACUGAGACACGGACCAGACUCCUACGGGAGGCAGCAGUGAGGAAUAUUGGUCAAUGGGCGCAAGCCUGAACCAGCCAUCCCGCGUGAAGGAAGAAGGCGCUAUGCGUCGUAAACUUCUUUUCCGAGGGGGAGUAAUUUUCCGGUCGUGACCGGAAUUGACGGUACUCGUGGGAAUAAGCAAUCGGCUAACUCCGUGCCAGC